AGUGAACGCUGGCGGUAGGCCUAACACAUGCAAGUCGAACGGCAGCACAGUAAGAGCUUGCUCUUACGGGUGGCGAGUGGCGGACGGGUGAGGAAUACAGCGGAAUCUACUUUUUCGUGGGGGAUAACGUAGGGAAACUUACGCUAAUACCGCAUACGACCUACGGGUGAAAGCAGAGGAUCUUCGGACCUUGCGCGAUUGAAUGAGCCGAUGUCGGAUUAGCUAGUUGGCGGGGUAAAGGCCCACCAAGGCGACGAUCCGUAGCUGGUCUGAGAGGAUGAUCAGCCACACUGGAACUGAGACACGGUCCAGACUCCUACGGGAGGCAGCAGUGGGGAAUAUUGGACAAUGGGCGCAAGCCUGAUCCAGCAAUACCGCGUGAGUGAAGAAGGCCUUCGGGUUGUAAAGCCCUUUUGUUGGGAAAGAAAAGCAGCAGGUUAAUACCCAGCUGUUCUGACGGUACCCAAAGAAUAAGCACCGGCUAACUUCGUG
rnacentral:rRNA from 1 species